CCCAACAUGACUGGAAAAGUCACGUUCUGUGUGGGUUAUUUACCUGGAAUGUGUCUUCGAAAAUGGAAUGAGACGGAAUUCACGACACAAGCGGUUCACAAAAUGUUUCGUGUUAGGCUAUAAAUUGCAAACAGACAAAGAUCGUCAAAGGUGUCGGCAAUCAUCCCCAUUAUCCCCAGUGUAUUUAUACCUGUGUUCUUUGUUUGUCUGUUGCCAGUUCGUUUUGUUUUGUGAAACCUACCAACGUUUUUCCCCUUGAGCCUGUCUUUUCUAGUUCCUGUUUUGCCUGCCCCGGCCCUGAGCCUGCCUGCCGUUCUGUACCUUGAGCCACCACAUUGGAUUAUUGACCACUGCCUGCUCUGACCCUAAGACUGCCUGCCGUUCUGGACCUUUGCACCCUAUCUGGAUUACUGACCUCUGCCUGCCCUUGACCUGUAAUUUUGCCUGCCCCUGUAUUAGUAAUACACUUUUGUUACUUCGA